UAUUGGGCGUAAGAGCUCGUAGGCGGUUUGUCGCGUCUGCUGUGAAAUCCCGAGGCUCAACCUCGGGCUUGCAGUGGGUACGGGCAGACUAGAGUGCGGUAGGGGAGAUUGGAAUUCCUGGUGUAGCGGUGGAAUGCGCAGAUAUCAGGAGGAACACCGAUGGCGAAGGCAGAUCUCUGGGCCGUAACUGACGCUGAGGAGCGAAAGCAUGGGGAGCGAACAGGAUUAGAUACCCUGGUAGUCCAUGCCGUAAACGUUGGGCGCUAGAUGUAGGGACCUUUCCACGGUUUCUGUGUCGUAGCUAACGCAUUAAGCGCCCCGCCUGGGGAGUACGGCCGCAAGGCUAAAACUCAAAGGAAUUGACGGGGGCCCGCACAAGCGGCGGAGCAUGCGGAUUAAUUCGAUGCAACGCGAAGAACCUUACCAAGGCUUGACAUACACCGGAAACGGCCAGAGAUGGUCGCCCCCUUGUGGUCGGUGUACAGGUGGUGCAUGGUUGUCGUCAGCUCGUGUCGUGAGAUGUUGGGUUAAGUCCCGCAACGAGCGCAACCCUCGUUCUAUGUUGCCAGCGGGUUAUGCCGGGGACUCAUAGGAGACUGCCGGGGUCAACUCGGAGGAAGGUGGGGAUGACGUCAAAUCAUCAUGCCCCUUAUGUCUUGGGCUUCACGCAUGCUACAAUGGCCGGUACAAAGGGCUGCGAUACCGUAAGGUGGAGCGAAUCCCAAAAAGCCGGUCUCAGUUCGGAUUGAGGUCUGCAACUCGACCUCAUGAAGUCGGAGUCGCUAGUAAUCGCAGAUCAACAACGCUGCGGGUGAAUACGUUCCCGGGCCUUGUACACCCCGCCCCGUCAAGUCAUGAAAGUCGGAACACCCGAA
rnacentral:rRNA from 2 species